rnacentral:lncRNA from 1 species
AGAAAUUAUAAAAAAAUAAUAUAGAAUUCAAAAAUAUACUAAAAUAAAAAUCUUAAUAAUAUAUUAAAAUAAAAACUUUAAUUAAAUCUUAAUAAAAUCCUAACCAAAUCCUAAAUAAAUCCUAAAAAAACUUAAUCAAAUCCUAAAUAAAUUCUAACCAAAUCUUAAUCAAAUCAUAAUCAAACCUUAAAUAAAUCUUAACCAAAUUCUAAUCAAAUCCUAAAAAAAACCUAUCCAAGUCUUAGUCAAAUCCUAACAAAAUCCUAACCAAAUCCUCAAAAAAUCUAAAAAAACCUUAACCAAACUCUAAUCAAUCCUAAACAUACCCUAACCAAGCCCUAAAUAAUCCCAAGUAAUUACUAUAGCAGAUUUAAACCUCAAUAACUAAUGAAUGAACCAUCGAUUUUAACUCAAAUUUUGCACAACUCUUCAAAAUUAAGUUUAAAACAAGUUCAAAAGUUUUGAAGAAGAUCGAACUCACCAAAAAAAAGAUCAACCCUAAUAUUUGCUCGGAUGUUGGCCGGCCUCCUUCUUCAAUCUAAAUGAAAAAUUUCGAGUAUCAAUAUCUCCUUAUCAAUUUAUUCAAUUGAUUUUAAAUUUUUCACAUAUGUAGAAAAAUAAGUCUAUUAUCUACACAUAUAAUUUUUACUCCAAUCCAAUAAAUAGAUUGCAAGAAAUCUUAGAAACCCUCAUUGGACCUAAAACUCUACUUCCCUAGAUUGCAACCCACUUAAAUCUCAAUAAUCCUUGAUCCAACCUUUUAAUCAAGCUUAAACUCAAAACAUAUAUUUAAAACAUAUAUAUCCACAAACCUUCAAAACUUCAUCUAUAGAUCUAUUGCCGAACUUACAAAAUUCUCCAAAAAUUAUCACCCACUUUAUUUCACAAAUCCAGAGUCACCCAAAAUAAACUCUGACUUUGAAA